GGAAGGGAUAUAUGUAUUCCUAUGGCUAAUUCAUGUUAAGGUUUGCAAGAUGGAUUCUUAACCAGGGGACCACCAGCGAAGUCCCCUGUCACUAUUAUUAUUUUGAAGUUGUUUUAGGAAAGGGCAUACUUGAACACUCUACAAGGUAUAAGUAGUUGCUUUGAACAAUGUGACUUUUCCCACUUCACAUCUGGGAAAAGAAGGUUUGCUGAGGGGCAGUUAUUCAAUCAAUAAUAAUACCUAACGAUUCUUGAUCUUUUACCAUGUGCUAGCACCUUAAUUUCCUCCACAAUCCUCUGGGUACUGUUAUGGUCAUUCCCAUCUUUCAGAUGAGGAAACUGAGGCUCAGAGAAGUCACAGAGUGGCCUCAGUUCAUUUAAGCCAGGAACCAGGAAGCCUGGCUCCAGGAAGAAGAAAGAAUUUCGGAGGCUGCUUCCCUGCCCUUCUGUAGGGCCUGCCAUCACCUCUGGGGGAAUCCCUGGGACCCUGUUGUUAGUAUUUGAGCCCUGGAGGAGGAAUCUGCAUUUCCACGAGCACCCUGAAGUCCUGAGGCUGUCUCCUGUUUGAAAGCUCUGAGCAAGAUCCCAGUCCGGACUCCUGGACUCCACCCCAGGCUUCCUGUUUAACCAGGGAAGUCAGACUUGAAGCAGGGAAGGCAGGGGUGUCACAGGAGCAGGCGGCCUGGACUGGCCUGGUGCUGUGGCUGGUGAGGCAGGCCCCCAUUCGUGUGCUCCUUCCACGUGGAACUCCAGCCCGUCAAGUCCUAGCCUGCCUGCAAGAGAAGACACGCAUUCUCCUUCCUCCGUGGAGCCUCCUCUGACCCCUUCAUGCCUCCUCCCUGGGCCCCAAGCAUACGUAUGGUGGCUGGACUGUAGACACACUCCAUGGCUAUUUCCUGAAUGAACUCAUGACCUCAUCUUUCACAGCUGGGCUCCUCUGCCAGCUCUGCAGCCCGCCCUGAGGCAAGGAGCAGGGGAGAGAGGAAUGACAAAGACACGUGGGCCCUUCUUUAACCGGUGAGCUGGGAAGCAGUGAGGUCUCUGCAUGUGUGGAUUGACCCAUGUCUGAAGAGAUCACUGACACCCUCAUUAACUCGCCAAGCAGGUGGCCUGGGCCUGCAGCUGGGUCUUGGCUCCGCUGGGAAGAGACUCUUUCUUUUUUGGGGGGGGCCCACACCACUUGGUGU
rnacentral:lncRNA from 1 species